UGAACAUUAUCAAAUAUUAUUAAUGUUGUAAAAUAUAUUGUUCAUUGUUAGUUCAUAUUAGCUAAGGCAUUACCAAAUGUUAAGGAAUAAACUCUUAUAGUAAAGUGUUACUAAAUUUUCUUUUACCAUUUCCUUCACAAUGUCUAUUUAUUUCUAUGGCUAACAGAUUUUGUAACAUUUGUCUUUUUUACAGUCUUACCAUUGCUUGUAAGCUGGAUUGGGUAAGAUGGAUCAUCUUUAAAGGCACCAGGAGUUAAGGCAGAUGUGGAGGCACAACGGGUGAUACCAGACACACACCAAGCACAUUAUGUUCGGACAUUCAAUCAUGACAGGAUCCAGGUGGAUGCUGUCCAUUGAGGAAAGAGUUUGUUCAGCGGUUUCUGGAUAGAAUUAAUUCCAAAGAUGGGAAAAAGUGCACAUCCAGACAAGGAGCAAGCAAAAAGACAAGGAACUUGGUGCAGAGAAAAGCUGUGGCCAUUAACCCCCAUGUGAACAGCUUCAUGCAGUCCCUGAUUGAGUUCGAAUGGACGACUUCAAAGUAAAGGCCACUGUGGUCUGUCUGCCACAGUUUAAUGCAUUUAUUUUUAGUGUUAAAUGAAAUUUAAGUAGAAUAUUUAAAACUAUGGGCCAGUGUUCUUUUUACCACAGUGAAAUGUUACCUUUUAGUCGAUGAUGGACUUUAAACUGAAAACUUCAAACUAUGGAACAGUGUUCUAUUUGCCAGAGUUAAAUAUGUUACAGCAGGGGUCUCCAAACUUGUUUAUACUUGUUGAUUUUAUUUUAUGUUACUUGAUUAUAUGUUUAUUAUUGUUUAAAAUCUUGUUUUAAAUAUGUUUGUUUCAAUUAAAUGUUUUUUUAAAUAAAAUUUUGAUACAUA